rnacentral:rRNA from 1 species
GACGAACGCUGGCGGCGCUGCCUAAUACAUGAUAGUCAAGAGAAGUUUUUCUGGUGCUUGCGCCGGAAAAACUUAACGGCGAACGGGAGGGUAACACAUAUAGAAACUGCCUCAUACACUGGGACAACUAUUGCAAACUUAUAUCUAAUACCGGAUAACAUCAUUAACUGCAUGGUUGAUGUUUAAGAGUUGGUUAUGCUGACCCUAUGAUAUGGCUUUGCAGUGCAUUAACUAGUUGGUGGGGUAAAGGCCUACCAAGGCGACGAUGCAUAUCCGACCUGAGAGGGUGAUCGGCCACACUGGGACUGAUACACGGCCCAGACUCCUACGGGAGGGAGCAAUAUGGAACCUACCGCAAUGGGGGAAAGCCUGAUCGAUCAACGCCUCGUGAGUGAAGAAGGAUUUCGGUUCGUAAAGCUCUGUUGUUAAGGAAGAAUGAUUGUGUAGUAACUAGACACAGUACAGACGGUACCUAACCAGAAAGCCACUGGUAACUACAUGCCAGCAGCCGCGGAAAUACGUAGGUGGCUAGCGAUGUCCGGAAUUAUUGGGCGUACAGCGCGCGCAAGUGGUUUAAUAAGUCUGAUGUGAAAGCCCACGGCUCAACCGGGGAGGGUCAUUGGAAACUGUUAAACUUGAGUGCCGGAGAGAAAAGUGGAAUUCCUAGUGUAGCGGUGAAAUGCGUAGAGAUUAGGAGGAACACCAGUGGCGAAGGCGGCUUUUUGGCCUGUAACUGACACUGAGGCGCGAAAGCGUGGGGAGCAAACAGGAUUAGAUACCCUGGUAGUCCACGCCGUAAACGAUGAGUGCUAAGUGUUGGUCUCAUAAGAGAUCAGUGCUGCAGCUAACGCAUUAAGCACUCCGCCUGGGGAGUACGACCGCAAGGUUGAAACUCAAAGGAAUUGGCGGGGACCCGCACAAGCGGUGGAGCAUGUGGUUUAAUUCGAAGCAACGCGAAGAACCUUACCAAGUCUUGACAUACUGUGAGGACACAAGAGAUUGUGUUGUUCUGACCUUUGGUUAGACACAGAUACAGGUGGUGCAUGGUUGUCGUCAGCUCGUGUCGUGAGAUGUUGGGUUAAGUCCCGCAACGAGCGCAACCCUUAUAUCUAGUUGCCAGCGGUAAGAUGGGGACUCUAGAUAGACUGCCAGUGAUAAACUGGAGGAAGGUGGGGAUGACGUCAAAUCAUCAUGCCCCUUAUGACUUGGGCUACACACGUGCUACAAUGGAUAGGAACAAAGAGAAGCGAGCUCGCGAGAGUAAGCAAACCUCACAAAACUAUUCUCAGUUCGGAUUGUAGUUUGCAACUCGACUACAUGAAGCUGGAAUCGCUAGUAAUCGCGAAUCAGAAUGUCGCGGUGAAUACGUUCCCGGUUCU